rnacentral:rRNA from 1 species
GAUGAACGCUGGCGGCGUGCCUAAUACAUGCAAGUCGAGCGAACAGACGAGGAGCUUGCUCCUCUGACGUUAGCGGCGGACGGGUGAGUAACACGUGGAUAACCUACUUAUAUGACUGGGAUAACUUCGGGAAACCGGAGCUAAUACUGGAUAAUAUAUUGAACCGCAUGGUUCAAUAGUGAAAGACGGUUUUGCUGUCACUUAUAGAUGGAUCCGCGCCGCAUUAGCUAGUUGGUAAGGUAACGGCUUACCAAGGCAACGAUGCGUAGCCGACCUGAGAGGGUGAUCGGCCACACUGGAACUGAGACACGGUCCAGACUCCUACGGGAGGCAGCAGUAGGGAAUCUUCCGCAAUGGGCGAAAGCCUGACGGAGCAACGCCGCGUGAGUGAUGAAGGUCUUCGGAUCGUAAAACUCUGUUAUUAGGGAAGAACAAAUGUGUAAGUAACUAUGCACGUCUUGACGGUACCUAAUCAGAAAGCCACGGCUAACUACGUG